rnacentral:rRNA from 1 species
CCUACGGGUGGCAGCAGUGGGGAAUAUUGCGCAAUGGGCGAAAGCCUGACGCAGCGACGCCGCGUGAGGGAUGAAGGUCUUCGGAUCGUAAACCUCUGUCAGCAGGGAAGAACGGUCACUGUGCUAAUCAGCAGUGAAUUGACGGUACCUGCAAAGGAAGCACCGGCUAACUCCGUGCCAGCAGCCGCGGUAAGACGGAGGGUGCGAGCGUUAAUCGGAAUUACUGGGCGUAAAGCGCUCGUAGGCGGUAUGUCAAGUCAAGGGUGAAAUCCCCGCGCUCAACGUGGGAACUGCCUUUGAAACUGGCAAACUGGAGUGUGUGAGAGGAUAGUGGAAUUCAAGGUGUAGGAGUGAAAUGCGUAGAUAUCUGGAGGAACAUCAGUGGCGAAGGCGACUAUCUGGCACAUAACUGACGCUGAGGAGCGAAAGCGUGGGUAGCAAACAGGAUUAGAUACCCGAGUAGUC